GUAACCACCAUAUAACGUCCAAAAUGUUAUAUCAACAACAUCCACUUCACCAGAGUGGCUCAAUGACACUUUCAGUUUCAAUCAACACUAUCAGCAGAUACCUCUAAUACCAUACACUGCAGAUGAACCUCACAUGUAAAUAACAACAGCAUUAAUACAAUUCGCACAAUAGUAACAUAUAAUUAUAACUUCAGAAACGUUUUUGUACAAUACACAUAACCACACUCAAUGUCCACUCUUAGGGUGCGUCCCAUUUCUACCCCUUACCCCUCCCCCUUACCCCUCCCCCUUGGUUUGAAGGGGUAAGGGUGUCCCAAUUCUCAUUUUGGUUAAGGGGUAGGGCGAAGACAAAAGGCUACGUAGCCCUUGAAACGAAGCGAAAACGUAGCUUGAAACGAAGCUAUCCAAGGACCACACUUCAAAGGGAGGGCUUCGAGGAAAAUCCGGCCGAAAAUGCAUUUUUACUAGUUGUUAUCAUUCGGACUCAUGAUGUAAAGUUGACUGUAUAUUCAGCUCGAAGUCAUACACAGAAAAUGCGAUCUCUGAGCUCGAUAUAAAACAUGACAUAACGGUAAAUAACCGUUGAACUAUACAUACAAGAUUUUGGCGCGCUCUAGUGGCCAAGCGAAAUCACCAUCAUCAUCAACAGCAUCAUUAUCAACAGCAGCGAUGGCUCAAACAAAGGAAAUGCACAAAUGGACACCACAGGAGACCAGACACCUCAUUAAUUUCAGGUCGACCAGGGACAAUGAGUUUCUCAAGUCAAAAAUGAUCGCCCGAAAACAGUGGGAGCUUUUUCUGGAAGAAAUGGGGAUGGAGGGAAAAGUUACAAGGCAACAGGCUUCUAAGAAGUGGGAAAACCUCAAAAAGAAGUACAAGGAUUUGAGGACUCCCAAAACUGGGUCGGGGACGGAAAGUGGGGAGGUGACUGUGGCGACGUGGCAGUAUUACGAUUUAAUGCAUGAGGUUCUUGGUGCCCGGCCAGCAAUCGACCCACCAGUCCUUGUGUCCUCGAUUCAAGAAGACCCCAUGGUUAUCCUCAUGGAGAUGGUGGAGCCCUGCAACCAAGCACCCCCGACAGCAGCCAGCACCCCAGUACACCCGCCGACCACAUCAAUCAUGCGAAGGAGGUCCAAAACAGUUGCAGAACUCCUGGCUGAGGAGGCACUUCAGGAGCAGAGGCGCCAUGAAGAGAGUGAGGCCAAGACAGAUCGCUUUCUUGAUCUCUUUGAGAGGAUGGUCAACAAAUUAUAAUUAUUGAUUUUUGUUGUUCCUAUGUUUUUUGUAUGCUAUUUAUUAUUCCUAUUUAUUAUUGUUGUAUAUAUUUCUAUUUAUUGCUAUUUAUUAUUUUAUGCUAUUUAUUAUUCCUAUUUAUUAUUGUUAUGUUUCUAUUUAUUGCUAUUUAUUGAUUUAUUAUUCCUAUUUAUGAUUGUUAUAUAUAUUUAUAUUUAUUGCUAUUUAUUAAUUUAUGCUAUUUAUUAUUCCUAUUUAUUAUUGUUAUAUAUAUUUCUAUUUAUUAAUUUAUUAUUCCUA
rnacentral:lncRNA from 1 species